CCCUUUGAUACUCUGGGCGGCACGCGCGCUACACUGGUUUAUAUAACGUGUAAUUUGGACGAUAGUCUGUAUAAAUCACUAAUAUAAAACCGUGAAUGGGAUAGUUUAUUGCAACUUACAAACUUUAACUAGGAAUCCCUUGUAGAAGUAGUGAAUUAUACUGCUUCGAAUACGUCCCUGUCGAUUGUACACACCGCCCGUCGUUUCUUCCGACUGGUACUCAUUGUGAAUUGCGAGGAGAUUCUGUCAAAUCGUUGUAAAUGCUGGGUAUUGGAGGAAGAAAAAGUCGUAACA
rnacentral:rRNA from 1 species